AUGGAGCACACAGAUAUCAUUUCAUCUCUUAAACCAGGACACUCCCAUUCAGCUAUUGGCACAUCUUCCAGGUUCCAAAUUGUACUGUCAUUUUUUUGUUUGUUUGUUGCUAAUGAUUUUUUAAAAUAUAUUGUGAACAUCAACUGGAAUAUCCCUCGAAAAUAACAUGGAUAAAAGAAAUGUUAAAUUAUAUAGCUUUGUGCCAACAAAGAGGUAAUAUGCAAGUCUUAGAUUUGUAUGCCAAAUAGGUUAAAAUGUUGAAUUCCUUUUUGCUUCAUUGUAAAAAAGUUAUGGUAAUAUGGCCAAAUAUAAUUAAUACCCUACAUUAACAUAGAAGAAAUUAAACCAGGCUGAAGAAACAGAAAGUUAGAAACUGUCCAAAUAUGAUACUGUGAUAUCUGAUGGGCUUGUUGAAAUUUACCUUGGGAUACUUGGGAAGAUGCAGUGGUUUGGUUAACCUAAAAGCUAUUUACUGUUACUUCAAGAAAAUGAUGAGGAGAGCUGAAGAAUCAAAAGAAAGAAGCACAUUGGAAAAGCACAGACAUAGUGCUUAACCUUAAAAAGUGGCAAGUUGUUGAUCCAUAUUCUUAAAUUUUAUUUCCCCCAAAAGCAGAAGAAAUAAUUUAGAGAUAUCUAGAAGGCAACAGACAUAUGCAAAGGACAAAUCAUUUCUACAUAACUUAUUUCUUUUUAUACGAGGGCUUUGUGGGUAGGAUAGAACAAUAGUGUAUUGACUUAUAUUGACAUAUAUUGACUUACCUGGUCGUAUACAUAUUCCUUAUAUACCUAGUAAUGUUUUUGAAACUAUCUCACAUGAUGCCAUAAGCAUGUUAGAGGAACAUGGCUAAUUUGAAGUUAUUAUCGAAUGGAUAUAAAUUUGAAAAAUAAGCUCAAAAUAGUUACACUUUUUUUCUGUCUAAUGGGGAGGACACAGAAGGUGGAUUCUGGGAUUCUGAUACCAACCAAUAUGGCAUGAAAGUUUUUAAUGAUUUAAUAGAAAAUAUGCAUAUUAAAUCUUCAGGUGACAGUAAGCCCAUGUAGGCCUAGUGGAAGACAGGACUGGAAUUCAGAAUG
rnacentral:lncRNA from 1 species